GUAAAGAGGAUCCAAUUUAUCCUACUUCCAGUUCACUCCGAUGCAUGGGCUAUGGAAACAAUGGAGAGAGAAAAGGGAUCGUUCAAAGAGUCCUGCUUAAGGGAAGAAAGUAAAGAUCUGACCUAUCUUUUUAUCCAGCAUUGAGAAGUGCUACUAGUGUCAUCGCCUAUAAAAGAACCUUGACAAAUCAUAACAUGUUGAUAAGUUUGUAAGAAAAGAGGUGAGAAAAUAAGCAGGUUUUUCCCCAUUACAAACUCUAGGUUGUCCUGCUAGAUGAAAGCUGAUUGCCAGUGAUAGGACCCAA
rnacentral:lncRNA from 1 species